GUCCAAGCGCGCGUGCGCCCCUGAAGGCGGGUUCCGGUGGCAGCGCCGGGGUCUCAGACCCUGAGGAGACUGAGCCCAGCGCCAGGCGACCGGUACCCGCCGCCGCCGCCCCUGCGCGGGAGAUCCACCCUGCUUAGUCCGCGCCCGAGCCCCCGUCCGUGGGAACAGACAAGGGGCCUCCGCAGCGCCUCACAACCCCCGACCAGGUCCAGCGGCGGGGGACUCGGCCGUGGAGGGCGCUGUUCGGUCUGCAUGGCUCCCCCCAUCAGCGGGAGGCUACACCCCCCACCAGCAGGGGCAAGAGGAGCAGCGGGAUGGGAGCAGGCCAACGUCCUGCGGCCUGGUUGAGCUCGCACUGACAAUCGCAGCUCAGGCGCUCAGGACUGCCAGGACCCAGAGGAUUCACACGACAGCCCCGGCUGAAGCCCAGCUCCUCAUCAACCGGUGAGCCGCCUGCCAGCUCCUGCUCCAGCUGCUGAGAAGCCUGAAGAGACCAAGACAGAGACACAGCCCCGCAGCACCACAGGGAGGCCCCAGUUACCCCAUGCGGAUGAGUUUCAUGGCCAUCUCUAACUAAGGACAGGACAUCGAUGUCAUCUGUAACUUCCAGUGCACUGGGGCACACAGCUGCAUCUCCCCAUGCUCACCUCCUGCCUCUUGCUCUGCCCAGUGCUGGAGUGCAGUGGCACGAUCUCGGCUCACUGCAACCUCUGCCUCCAGGAUUCAAUUGAUUCUCCUGCCUCAGCCUCUCCAGUAGCUGGGAUUACAGGCGUGCACCA
rnacentral:antisense_RNA from 1 species